AUUGAACGCUGGCGGCAGGCCUAACACAUGCAAGUCGAACGGUAGCACAGAGAGCUUGCUCUCGGGUGACGAGUGGCGGACGGGUGAGUAACGUCUGGGAAACUGCCCGAUGGAGGGGGAUAACUACUGGAAACGGUAGCUAAUACCGCAUAACGUCGCAAGACCAAAGUGGGGGACCUUCGGGCCUCACACCAUUGGAUGUGCCCAGAUGGGAUUAGCUAGUAGGUGGGGUAAUGGCUCACCUAGGCGACGAUCCCUAGCUGGUCUGAGAGGAUGACCAGCCACACUGGAACUGAGACACGGUCCAGACUCCUACGGGAGGCAGCAGUGGGGAAUAUUGCACAAUGGGCGCAAGCCUGAUGCAGCCAUGCCGCGUGUAUGAAGAAGGCCUUCGGGUUGUAAAGUACUUUCAGCGGGGAGGAAGGCGGUGAAGUUAAUAGCUUCACCGAUUGACGUUACCCGCAGAAGAAGCACCGGCUAACUCCGUGCCAGCCGCCGCCGUAACAC
rnacentral:rRNA from 1 species